rnacentral:rRNA from 1 species
CAAAAACAUCGCCUCUUGAUCAAUCAUAAGAGGUCAAGCCUGCCCAGUGACAUUGUUCAACGGCCGCGGUAUCCUAACCGUGCGAAGGUAGCGUAAUCACUUGUCCUUUAAAUAAGGACUAGUAUGAACGGCUUCACGAAGGCUAUACUGUCUCCUUAAUCUAAUCAGUUAAACUAAUCUCCCCGUGAAGAAGCGGGGAUUCAUAUAUAAGACGAGAAGACCCUAUGGAGCUUUAAACAUCUAAGACACUUGAUUACACCCACUAAACUUCAUGCAACCUAUCAUUUUGUCUUAAGUUUUAGGUUGGGGUGACCACGGAGAAAAAUUGAACCUCCACGUAGAAAGAAAAUUCUUUUCUAAGCAAAAAGCCACAUCUUAACGCAUCAAUAUACUGACUUAAAUUGACCCAAUUUCUUGCUCAACGAACCAAGUUACCCUAGGGAUAACAGCGCAAUCCGCUUUAAGAGCUCCUAUCGACAAGCGGGCUUACGACCUCGAUGUUGGAUCAGGGUAUCCUAAUGGUGCAGCAGCUAUUAACGGUUCG